GAUGAAGAACGUAGCGAAAUGCGAUAAGUAAUGUGAAUUGCAGAAUUCAGUGAAUCAUCGAAUCUUUGAACGCACAUUUCGCCCCCUGGUAUUCCGGGGGGCAUGCCUGUCCGAGCGUCAUUACAACCCUCAAGCUCAGCUUGGUGUUGGGCCCCGCCGCCCCGGCGGGCCCUAAAGUCAGUGGCGGUGCCGUCCGGCUCCGAGCGUAGUAAUUCUUCUCGCUCUGGAGGUCCGGUCGUGUGCUCGCCAGCAACCCCCAAUUUUUUUCAGGUUGACCUCGGAUCAGGUAGGGAUACCCGCUGAACUUAAGCAUAUCAAUAAGCGGAGGA
rnacentral:misc_RNA from 1 species